UACGAAGGGGGCUAGCGUUGCUCGGAAUCACUGGGCGUAAAGCGCACGUAGGCGGAUUGCUAAGUCAGGGGUGAAAUCCUGGAGCUCAACUCCAGAACUGCCUUUGAUACUGGCGAUCUUGAGUCCGGGAGAGGUGAGUGGAACUGCGAGUGUAGAGGUGAAAUUCGUAGAUAUUGGGAGGAACACCAGUGGCGAAGGCGGUCCCCUGGCCGGAACUGACGCUGAGGCGCGAAAGCGUGGGUAGCAAACGGG
rnacentral:rRNA from 1 species